GGAUGAAGAAACUGAGGCCCACAGAAGGUGGGUGAUACCUGCAAAAUCACAAACUUUCAUGGUGAAAGAAGAGGGCAAAACUCAACCCAUCUCUUUAGACUUGGGAAGAAUAUGAAAGGACCAGGAGGGACACCUUUCCUAAUAACCUAGCUGAUGGUUCACUUAUUGUAAGCACAUUCUCAAACAAGGUGACAAUUAGGUUCAAAUAUCGUCUUUGAAACACAAAGUAGAUCUUACCCUUUUUAUCCUCCUAUUGCUAGUUUAGCUUCUACUGUUAGAAAGUUGAUUCUUAAUGUAAUAUUUGUCUAAGGGUCUGUUAUAGGAGUCCUAAACAGAUAUAUCAGCCAUUUUAUAGUCCUAAAUGCAAGCCAGGAAAGAGCUAGAGAUAAAAGCAAAGAUGUUAAUUUAUGUAAAGUACUUAGCAUGGUUCCUGGCAAGAAUAACAAGUCAAUAAAUGAUAUUAAUAAUAAUACUAAUACUGUAAAUAAUACCUAACAAGGCUAUUUUUCUUAUUAUUUUUAAAAUUCAUACAGUCUCUAAAAUCUUCAGUUAACUUGUUCCUCUCACAGUGUUCCAUACUACACCCUGGAGACACUGAUCAAGCAGAGAACUGUGUUUACUUGAUUGUCUGAAACAGCAGGCCGACAUAGCAGUUGCAAGCAUCUUGAGCAAUUCUAUUCCAUAUAGAGACAUAAGAAGCCGAGAGAAAGAGACACAAUACAU
rnacentral:antisense_RNA from 1 species